rnacentral:misc_RNA from 1 species
GAUGAAGAACGCAGCGAAAUGCGAUAAGUAAUGUGAAUUGCAGAAUUCAGUGAAUCAUCGAAUCUUUGAACGCACAUUGCGCCCCUUGGUAUUCCAUGGGGCAUGCCUGUUCGAGCGUCACCUGCCCCCUCAAGCACUGCUUGGUGAUGGGCGUCUGUCCCGCCUCAGCGCGCGGACUCGCCCCAAAGGCAUUGGCAGCGGUCCUGACCGCCUCUCGCGCAGCACAUUUGCGCUUCUCGAGGCGCCGGGGGCCUGCGUCCAUCAAGCCCAUCUUACCCUUUUAAUUGACCUCGAAUCAGGUAGGGAUACCCGCUGAACUUAAGCAUAUCAAUAAGCGAGGA